rnacentral:rRNA from 1 species
GACGAACCGUGCGAACGUUAUUCGGAAUCACUGGGCUUAAAGCGCGUGUAGGCGGGCCGCCACGUCGGCUGCUGAAAUCCCCCGGCUCAACCGGGGAAGUGGCACCGAUACGAGCGGCCUCGAGGGGGGUAGGGGGGUCUGGAACUUCCGGUGGAGCGGUGAAAUGCGUUGAGAUCGGAAGGAACACCUGUGGCGAAAGCGGCUCACUGGACCGCAACUGACGCUGAGGCGCGAAAGCUAGGGGAGCAAACAGG